rnacentral:lncRNA from 1 species
AUUUCUUAAAAUCUAUGUCCGAUCAAAUGACGACACAUAAAAUGGGAUGAAGGUAGUAUUUUUUUUUUUUUGUGUGAAGAAAAACUUUAUUAUUGAUGUCCACUUCACUCUGCCAUUCGUACAUUUCCACAUGACAAUUUACCGCACUACCUCGUAGUGACGUCAUGUGAUCAGGAGGUCACAGGUUCGAGUUUUGGAAAUAGUCUUUGACAACACACUCUUGUGAUAGGGGUUUUAUCCGGAUCUUGCGCAUAACUGAAGCUUUAAUUCACCGGACAAAAUUUUUUUUUUUUUUUUUUUACCACAGUAACACAACUAAACAAAUUAACUUUUGAUUAAGAUACGUUCAAUCCACAUUUUCUCCCUGGAGCACUGCUUCUUAAUGACAAAUUCUUCCUUUCGCAACUUGCACUCCCUUUUGAUAUAUCGUUUACACCACCAUCUCUGAUGAGCGUGUGGUCUUGAAGUCCCACAUUCUAGUACUUGUACAACAAUGCAACAACCAUAGCUACAACCAAUUCUUGACAUACCUCCCCUUUAGUGGUUCUAGACAUUCUCUUCCAGAUCUCCAGUACUUCUGUAUUGGUUAUUCUUUUCUUUAACCAUGCAAGCGUACCCUAAAAAUAUAGGUACGAGAAAGUGCAAUAAAAGAACAAAUGGCCAACAGACUCCACACUGAUCAUUAGCACUAAUAUCCAUUCAAAACAACAUCCAUACGAAGCUACGGUUGGCAACUUACCUUACUACAC